UACGGAGGGUGCGAGCGUUGUCCGGAAUCACUGGGCGUAAAGGGCGCGUAGGUGGCACGGGCAGUCAACGGUGAAAGUUCGGGGCUCAACCCUGAAUCGGCCGUCGAUACUCCCGGGCUUGAGCACUGUAGAGGCAGAUGGAAUUCCGGGUGUAGCGGUGGAAUGCGUAGAGAUCCGGAAGAACACCGGUGGCGAAGGCGGCCUGCUGGGCUAUGGCUGGCACUGAGGCGCGACGAGCGUGGGGAGCAAACAGG
rnacentral:rRNA from 1 species